AGAGUUUGAUCAUGGCUCAGGACGAACGCUGGCGGCGUGCUUAACACAUGCAAGUCGAACGAUGAACCACCUUCGGGUGGGGAUUAGUGGCGAACGGGUGAGUAACACGUGGGCAAUCUGCCCUGCACUCUGGGACAAGCCCUGGAAGCGGGGUCUAAUACCGGAUACUGAGCCUCGCAGGCAUCUGCGGGGUUCGAAAGCUCCGGCGGUGCAGGAUGAGCCCGCGGCCUAUCAGCUUGUUGGUGAGGUAACGGCUCACCAAGGCGACGACGGGUAGCCGGCCUGAGAGGGCGACCGGCCACACUGGGACUGAGACACGGCCCAGACUCCUACGGGAGGCAGCAGUGGGGAAUAUUGCACAAUGGGCGAAAGCCUGAUGCAGCGACGCCGCGUGAGGGAUGACGGCCUUCGGGUUGUAAACCUCUUUCAGCAGGGAAGAAGCGAAAGUGACGGUACCUGCAGAAGAAGCGCCGGCUAACUACGUGCCAGCAGCCGCGGUAAUACGUAGGGCGCGAGCGUUGUCCGGAAUUAUUGGGCGUAAAGAGCUCGUAGGCGGCUUGUCGCGUCGGUUGUGAAAGCCCGGGGCUUAACCCCGGGUCUGCAGUCGAUACGGGCAGGCUAGAGUUCGGUAGGGGAGAUCGGAAUUCCUGGUGUAGCGGUGAAAUGCGCAGAUAUCAGGAGGAACACCGGUGGCGAAGGCGGAUCUCUGGGCCGAUACUGACGCUGAGGAGCGAAAGCGUGGGGAGCGAACAGGAUUAGAUACCCUGGUAGUCCACGCCGUAAACGGUGGGCACUAGGUGUGGGCGACAUUCCACGUCGUCCGUGCCGCAGCUAACGCAUUAAGUGCCCCGCCUGGGGAGUACGGCCGCAAGGGCUAAAACUCAAAGGAAUUGACGG
rnacentral:rRNA from 1 species